ensembl:lncRNA
AUAUUUAGUUCUCUGACUUUAUUACCAAUUCCAUGGAGCACAAUGUUUUUCUUCAAAUCAUUAUGAGGAUUAUACUCAGUCUGAGAAUUUGACACCUGCUGUUUCAAAACUUGAUCACAAACAUUUCAGGAUAUAUAUCAGUUAGUACAGAAGAGAUGAAUAAGAUUCAGACUGCAAUAACGUAGGAAGAUUAAAAAAAAAGUCAAAAUAAAUAUUAUUCCCAGUAAGUAAAAUAAGUCGAAACAGUUAUCCAGAAUCUGGAGUGAAUAUGUUACGUGUGUUUAAAUUAGUAUUAUCAAAUAUACAACAGAGUGCUAAAAAAAAAAAAAAAAAACCCACAACAAAAAACAAGACUCCUACUAGCAGAGGAAGUAAUAUUGUUUGAAUCCCUUAACAAACUGUCAGUACGAAAGCAGCAAGACUACAGGAUACAGCUGAUGGUUAGAUGGUUAAGCUCACAACACCAGAAAUGCUUGAAUGAGAAAGAAUGGAACAUCAUUAGAUGAUAAUGGGUACACAUUUUGCUUGAAGCAAUGGAUUCCUAAUGACUCCCAGGAUUGCUACAAUGCAUCAAGAGGAAGAUACUGUAUUCAAGAUACUGGUGGCUGCAAAGUAACGGCACUGGAAAUUCAAUCAAGCUAUAUGAAUGGAUACAUUCUUCACACAAUGGCCAUGGUUUCUGUAACUAUUCCAAAAAACCCUUCAUAACACAGAGCAAUACUUGGAAUCGUUCUUUUCAUAAUAACCCUCCUUCGCUUAGGUUACAAAGUUGAAUCUGUUCCUGAUUGAUUCAAUCUAAAGGACUUGAUGUAUAGGUUCAGUACUUUCCCCAUUCGGCUCUGUUUAUUCAUACACGCAGAGCCAAGUUGGAAGAAACCAAGAGGACAAUUACUGAACAGAUUUUUCCUGUCACUAGUAUUUCCUCUUGUUCAUUUCUGGGUCUUGUCCUCCUUGCAGAAGACACAUACUCCCCUCCAUGCACAUGCCCAGGUUCUGCACUUGUUAAGGAGCAACUCUGGCUUCACAUACACCUUGAGUACUAUGUGCAAUUCUGUGCACCACGUUACAAAAAGGAUAUAAAACUAUUAGAGAGUGUCCAAAGGAGGACUACAAAGAUGGAGAAGGGUCUGGAGGGCAAGGUGUUUGAGGAACAGCAGAGAUCCCUUGAUUAUUCAACUCAGAGCAGAGGGGACUGAGGGGAGGCUUCACAGUGACCUGCAUCUCCUCACAGGUGAGGGGAGAGGCAACACUGAGCUCUGCUCUAUGAUGACAGCAACAAUCUGAGGAAAUAGCAUGGAGCUGCUACAAGCAGAGGUUCAGACUGGGUAUCAGUUCUUUUCCAAGAGGGUGAUCAAGCAUGAAACAGGCUCCUCAGUGUAGCAGUCAUGGCACCAAGCUGCUGGAGUUCAAGAAGUGUCUGGACAACACUCUCAGGCAUAUAGUCUGACUUUUGAGUGGUCCUGUUCCAUGCCACGAUUUGGACUUGAUGAUUAAGAGUCCCUUCUAACUCAGGAUAUUCUAUGAUUCUCUGAAGAGUAUAAGUAAUUUGC